rnacentral:rRNA from 1 species
UUUGAUCAUGGCUCAGGAUGAACGCUGGCGGCGUGCCUAACACAUGCAAGUCGAACGGUUCUAGGGACUGGGAACUAGGGACUAGAGAGAGUGAGAAAAGCAGGAAAACUGUUUUUUUUAUCAUCUAGCAACUAGUUCCUAGCCUCUAGAAUAGUGGCGGACGGGUGAGUAACGCGUGGGUAACCAACCGUAUAGAGGGGGAUAACGGCUAGAAAUAGCCGCUAAUACCGCAUAGACCGAUAAUAUCGCAUGGUAUAGUCGGUAAAGGAGCAAUCCGCUGUACGACGGACCCGCGUCUGAUUAGCUAGUUGGAGAGGUAACGGCUCACCAAGGCAACGAUCAGUAGCCGACCUGAGAGGGUGAUCGGCCACAUUGGGACUGAGACACGGCCCAAACUCCUACGGGAGGCAGCAGUGGGGAAUAUUGCACAAUGGGGGAAACCCUGAUGCAGCAACGCCGCGUGAAGGAAGAAGUAUUUCGGUACGUAAACUUCAGACGCUGAUGAAGAAAAAAAUGACGGUAAUCAGGCCGGAGCCCCGGCUAACUACGUGCCAGCAGCCGCG